GAUGAACGCUGGCGGCGUGCCUAAUACAUGCAAGUCGAGCGAACGGACGAGAAGCUUGCUUCUCUGAUGUUAGCGGCGGACGGGUGAGUAACACGUGGAUAACCUACCUAUAGGACUGGGAUAACUUCGGGAAACCGGAGCUAAUACCGGAUGAUAUUUUGAACCGCAUGGUUCAAAAGUGAAAGACGGUCUUGCUGUCACUUAUAGAUGGAUCCGCGCUGCAUUAGCUAGUUGGUAAGGUAACGGCUUACCAAGGCAACGAUGCAUAGCCGACCUGAGAGGGUGAUCGGCCACACUGGAACUGAGACACGGUCCAGACUCCUACGGGAGGCAGCAGUAGGGAAUCUUCCGCAAUGGGCGAAAGCCUGACGGAGCAACGCCGCGUGAGUGAUGAAGGUCUUCGGAUCGUAAAACUCUGUUACUAGGGAAGAACAUAUGUGUAAGUAACUGUGCACAUCUUGACGGUACCUAAUCAGAAAGCCACGGCUAACUACGUG
rnacentral:rRNA from 1 species